rnacentral:rRNA from 1 species
GACGAACGCUGGCGGCGUGCCUAAUACAUGCCAGUUGAGCGCUGAAGGUUGGUACUUGUACCAACUGGAUGAGCAGCGAACGGGUGAGUAACGCGUGGGGAAUCUGCCUUUGAGCGGGGGACAACAUUUGGAAACGAAUGCUAAUACCGCAUAAAAACUUUAAACACAAGUUUUAAGUUUGAAAGAUGCAAUUGCAUCACUCAAAGAUGAUCCCGCGUUGUAUUAGCUAGUUGGUGAGGUAAAGGCUCACCAAGGCGAUGAUACAUAGCCGACCUGAGAGGGUGAUCGGCCACAUUGGGACGGAGACACGGCCCAAACCCCUACGGGAGGCAGCAGUAGGGAAUCUUCGGCAAUGGACGAAAGUCUGACCGAGCAACGCCGCGUGAGUGAAGAAGGUUUUCGGAUCGUAAAACUCUGUUGGUAGAGAAGAACGUUGGUGAGAGUGGAAAGCUCAUCAAGUGACGGUAACUACCCAGAAAGGGACGGCUAACUACGUG